UACAGAGGUGGCAAGCGUUGUUCGGAAUUACUGGGCGUAAAGGGCGCGUAGGCGGUCUCGUAAGUCCUGUGUGAAAUCCCCCGGCUCAACUGGGGAACUGCACAGGAGACUGCUUGGCUUGAGUUCGGGAGAGGGAAGCGGAAUUCCGGGUGUGGCGGUGAAAUGCGUAGAUAUCCGGAGGAACACCGGUGGCGAAGGCGGCUUCCUGGACCGACACUGACGCUGAGGCGCGAAAGCCAGGGGAGCAAACGGG
rnacentral:rRNA from 1 species